rnacentral:rRNA from 1 species
UACGGGGGGAGCAAGCGUUGUUCGGAUUUACUGGGCGUAAAGGGCGCGUAGGCGGCAAAUUAAGUCAGCUGUGAAAUCUCCGAGCUUAACUCGGAACUGUCAGCUGAUACUGAUCUGCUUGAGUGCGGAAGGGGCAAUCGGAAUUCUUGGUGUAGCGGUGAAAUGCGUAGAUAUCAAGAGGAGCACCUGAGGUGAAGACGGGUUGCUGGGCCGACACUGACGCUGACAGCGCGAAAGCCAGGGGAGCAAACGGG